UACGAAGGGGGCUAGCGUUGCUCGGAAUCACUGGGCGUAAAGCGCACGUAGGCCGAUUGUUAAGUCAGGGGUGAAAUCCUGGAGCUCAACUCCAGAACUGCCUUUGAUACUGGGAGUCUCGAGUCCGGGAGAGGUGAGUGGAACUGCGAGUGUAGAGGUGAAAUUCGUAGAUAUUCGCAAGAACACCAGUGGCGAAGGCGGCUCACUGGCCCGGUACUGACGCUGAGGUGCGAAAGCGUGGGGAGCAAACAGGGAUUAAGAAACCC
rnacentral:rRNA from 1 species